UGGCUAAGUUGGAAAAGUGCCUGCCUUGUAAGCAUGAAGACCUGAGUUCGAUCCCCAG
rnacentral:tRNA from 1 species